CCCGCUGAGUUUAAGCAUAUCAAUAAGCGGAGGAAAAGAAAUUUACAAGGAUUCCCUUAGUAACGGCGAUCGAACUAGGAACAACCCAAUCUUAGAAUUGGGCGGCUUCGUCGUCCUAAUUGUAGUCUGGAAAAGCGUCCUCUGUAGCAAACAGGGCCUAAGUCUGCUGGAAGGGGGUGCCAGAAAGGGUAUACUGAGUAUAUAGGGGUGUAUGCAAUAAGUAAAAAAUCUCAUUACUCUUUUUAAAACCUUGGAUAAUGAAAUAAAUGACUCACAUAGCUUGAUUAAAUCUGAGAUCAAAAUCUCAUAAAUCCUGAAUAA
rnacentral:ncRNA from 1 species